GUGCUUUCUUCCUUCAUUUGUCUUUUCAUUGGCUUUAUUUUUCGUAUGAUCUUAUAUUGUAGUUAAAUUGACCUUGAAAGAAUCUAGUUAAAAUUCGGCAAAAUCUUAAACUAGUUCUACCAAGAAGUCAGAAGUGUACAAGUUUAGGGGUUUAUUUUGGAUAUCUUGAUAUUAUAUGACAAAUGGACAUUCACCUUGGAAUACUUUUUUGAAGACAUAAAAAUGGAAUAUAUUAACGACAGCAGUGAAACACCUAAGUAUAAGAUGUAUUAAAAGUGCCACCCCUAAUAACAGUCAAACAUACAAAUUAGAGUCAAAGCAAAGGUCGAUCUAAACCCAAACAAAAUAAAGGGUCCGACCACCAUCUUUGAGUACCAUACAUGAAAUUUGCUUUGUUAGCUUGAAGCCACCAUAAAGAAUGAAAUCGAACUUUAUCUGCUAGUAGUUCAACUGUGGUUUGGAUAUUAUUAAAAAGUCUAUUAUUACGUUCAUUCACCUUGGAAUACUAAUUUGAAGAUUUGAUUAGGUUAAUAUUCAAUGAGAAUAGUAAUUAGACACUCUUUCAGAAACACUUUUGAACAUAUUCUUUGUAACAAAAUUUGAUUUAUUUGUCUUGUAAUUUAGUCAUUUUAUAAAAAUUGUGUUAUUUUGUAAACGAACUCACAAAGAAUGUCUAGAGAGCGUGUCUAAAAAAAUGUUUUACUAGCAUUUUUCUAUGUCUCAUAGUAGCCUCUCACUAUUGUAGCUUCCGAGCUGACAAUCAAGACUG
rnacentral:lncRNA from 1 species